CACUAUCUCCAAACAGACCGAACCGGGCUUUCACUUGAGCCUCUUCACCUAGGAGUACCAUCGGGAACUUUCACAACGAUUUUUGAGCCUAUGGUGCACUGGGCACAAACCAUGCAACUAUCUUGCACCGAAACUAAUACUAUCUCCAAAUGGACCGAAGCGAGAUUCCAUAUGAUACACUUCAUCUAGUAGUUCCAUCGGGUGCAUCUACAGUUCCAUCGGGUGUGUCCAAAUUGAUUUCUGAGCAUAUGGUAUGUUCCAUGCAAACCGUGCACCUAUCUUGCAUCAAGAUUAGAACUUUCUCCAAACAGACAGAACCAAGAUUCCACAUGAGCCUCUUCACCAAGGAGUACCAUCGCGUGCGUCCAAAAUAGUUUCUUAGCCUAUGGUGCAUUAGGCAGAAACUGUUUACCUAUCUUGGACCGAAACUAACACUAUCUCCAAAGAGACCGAAGUGAGAUUCUAUAUGACACAUGUCAUCUAGGAGUUCUAUUGGGUGCUUCCAAAUAUAUUUCUAAGCGUAUGGUACGUUUGAUGCAAUUCGUGCACCUAUCUUGCAUCAAGAUUAGUACUAUCUCCAAACAAAGCAAACUGAGCUUCCACUUGAGCCCUUUUUCCGAGGAGUAUCAUCGAGUGCAUCUAAAAUGGUUCUUAGCCUAUGAUGCAUUAGGCGCAAACUGUGUACCUAUCUUGCACCAAAACUACCUCUGUCUCCAAACAAACCAAAGCGAGAUUCUAUAUGACACAUGUCAUCUAGGUGUUCUAUUGGGGUGCGUCCAAAUGGAUUUCUUAGCAUAUGGUAUGUUCCAUGCAAACUGUAACACCUCCGUGUUAAGCAUGCAUUAUGCAUAUAACUAAUUAACCUUAAACCUUCAUUUAAGCAUGGCAUAAGCAUCAUCAAGCACUAACCCUAAAUGCAUCAUUAUUUUAUGUGUUGCAUUUGUUUUAAUUUAAUUAAUUGCUUGAGUGUUGUUUUGUUAAUUAAUUGUCUUGCAAACAACUUGAUCAAGUUUGGAUCCAUGUGCCUAGCCUUUCAAAAUGAUUUAGCAAAAUUUAUUGCAAAAGAUUUGGUGCAUUUUGGAGCAAAAGAAAAUAAAUUGGAAAAAAUUUCCUAUUAUUCCCAAGAUUCAAAAUAAAUUUGUGGUUCAAAAAUUAUUUAGAAUUUUGAGUUGAGACCUAAAUGAAAGUUGUUCAGCUUGAAAUUCUCUGCAACUUUUAUUUUGGGCACUUUUCAUGAAAAAGCUUUUAAAUUUGCCAAAUAAUUGCAUUUGAGUUGGAUUAAAAAAAAUAAAAAAAUAAAAGGGGAACCAGCGCGAACCGGCAGGCCGGAUUCGGCCCACACCGGCCC
rnacentral:lncRNA from 1 species